UACGAAGGGGGCUAGCGUUGUUCGGAAUUACUGGGCGUAAAGCGCACGUAGGCGGAUAUUUAAGUCAGGGGUGAAAUCCCAGAGCUCAACUCUGGAACUGCCUUUGAUACUGGGUAUCUCGAGUAUGGAAGAGGUGAGUGGAAUUCCGAGUGUAGAGGUGAAAUUCGUAGAUAUUCGGAGGAACACCAGUGGCGAAGGCGGCUCACUGGGCCAUUACUGACGCUGAGGCGCGAAAGCGUGGGGAGCAAACAGG
rnacentral:rRNA from 1 species